rnacentral:rRNA from 1 species
CGGGUGAGUAAUGCGUGACCAACCUGCCCCAUGCUCCAGAAUAGCUCUUGGAAACGGGUGGUAAUGCUGGAUGCUCCAACUUGACGCAUGUCUUGUUGGGAAAGUGUUUAGUAGCAUGGGAUGGGGUCGCGUCCUAUCAGCUUGUAGGCGGGGUAAUGGCCCACCUAGGCUUCGACGGGUAGCCGGCCUGAGAGGGCGGACGGCCACAUUGGGACUGAGAUACGGCCCAGACUCCUACGGGAGGCAGCAGUU